UUGUCGCCAACUCCAAUGCAACUAUCCAGAGCAAGAUGGCUUGUGGUUGCGAUCCCGUCGUCCUCGCCAGCCUCGGGCGAGUCUCGUUUCACCAGAUCCAGUGAGGUCGAGUCUCUCCCGAAGGUGGCGAGGCUGGCCCUUGCUGGCCUCUAGGGAAAUCACCCUUCGCCUGAGGUUGGCGAGGGCGACCAUCGCCGAUCGUCACUUGUGGUGAGGGAUUUGCUUGUGGGGAGGGCAUAACCAACGAAUGGGAUUGUGUUUGGCCUUGACAUGGGUGCACUUGUCAAAGGGCUUCUUGUGAGUACCGGUUGGGACGAACUUGUUUAUGUUUGGCAAAUUGGGACUGAUCCUAGAGCACCUUAAACUAGAGUUAAGUUCUUUUUAUUUUUCUUGUGUGUACCCUCUUUGAGAUGAUUUUGCUGUGGUUGUUUAAGUACUUGGAAACGGAAUUUUAAAUGGUCGACGUCAAAAGUGUACUACGAAUGUGGUUGUGCUUCAGUCCGGCAAUGUGGGUAUCUGUAUUGCUUGUUUAGCUGUUGAUCUUGAUUAAUAAGAAUAAUUUACAAACAA